rnacentral:rRNA from 1 species
AGAGUUUGAUCCUGGCUCAGGAUGAACGCUAGCGGCAGGCCUAACACAUGCAAGUCGAGGGGUAACAGGAGAGCUUGCUCUCGCUGACGACCGGCGCACGGGUGAGUAACGCGUAUGCAACCUACCUUUAACAGGGGGAUAGCCCGAAGAAAUUCGGAUUAAUACCCCAUACAACUAUAGAUAAGCAUUUAUUUAUAUUUAAAACUCCGGUGGUUAAAGAUGGGCAUGCGUGACAUUAGAUAGUUGGUAAGGUAACGGCUUACCAAGUCUACGAUGUCUAGGGGGUCUGAGAGGAUGGUCCCCCACACUGGUACUGAGACACGGACCAGACUCCUACGGGAGGCAGCAGUGAGGAAUAUUGCGCAAUGGAGGAAACUCUGACGCAGCCAUGCCGCGUGCAGGAUGACAGCCCUACGGGUUGUAAACUGCUUUUAUACAGGAAGAAUUUUCCGCACGUGUGCGGGAUUGACGGUACUGUACGAAUAAGCACCGGCUAACUCCGUGCCAGCAGCCGCGGUAAUACGGAGGGUGCAAGCGUUAUCCGGAUUUAUUGGGUUUAAAGGGUGCGUAGGCGGAGUAAUAAGUCAGUGGUGAAAUCCUGCAGCUUAACUGUAGAAUUGCCAUUGAUACUGUUAUUCUUGAGUUCGAUUGAGGUAGGCGGAAUGUGUAAUGUAGCGGUGAAAUGCUUAGAUAUUACACAGAACACCGAUUGCGUAGGCAGCUUACUAAGUCGAUACUGACGCUGAGGCACGAAAGCGUGGGGAGCGAACAGGAUUAGAUACCCUGGUAGUCCACGCCGUAAACUAUGAUCACUAGCUGUUGGCGAUACAUCGAUCAGCGGCAAAGCGAAAGCAUUAAGUGAUCCACCUGGGGAGUACGGUCGCAAGAUUGAAACUCAAAGGAAUCGACGGGGGCCCGCACAAGCGGUGGAACAUGUGGUUUAAUUCGAUGAUACGCGAGGAACCUUACCUGGGCUUAAAUGCAGAUUGACGUUUCGGGAAACCGGAAUUCCCUCCGGGGCGAUUUGCAGGGUGCUGCAUGGUUGUCGUCAGCUCGUGCCGUGAGGUGUCGGGUUAAGUCCCAUAACGAGCGCAACCCCUAUCGUUAGUUGCCAGCGGAUAAUGCCGGGGACUCUAACGAAACUGCCGGUGUAAACCGAGAGGAAGGUGGGGAUGACGUCAAAUCAGCACGGCCCUUAUGUCCAGGGCUACACACGUGUUACAAUGGUCGGUACAGAGGGCAGCUACCUGGUGACAGGAUGCUAAUCUCGAAGCCGGUCUUAGUUCGGAUCGAAGUCUGCAACUCGACUUCGUGAAGCUGGAAUCGCUAGUAAUCGCG